GACCGAAAGGGCAAACUGUCGGUGACGGCAGGACGCAAAGCUUCCGGUCUCUUUCAGGAGACAGCGGGGUUACCGAAG
rnacentral:ncRNA from 1 species